rnacentral:rRNA from 1 species
UCUGGGAAACUGCCUGAUGGAGGGGGAUAACUACUGGAAACGGUGGCUAAUACCGCAUAACGUCGCAAGACCAAAGAGGGGGACCUUCGGGCCUCUUGCCAUCAGAUGUGCCCAGAUGGGAUUAGCUUGUUGGUGAGGUAACGGCUCACCAAGGCGACGAUCCCUAGCUGGUCUGAGAGGAUGACCAGCCACACUGGAACUGAGACACGGUCCAGACUCCUACGGGAGGCAGCAGUGGGGAAUAUUGCACAAUGGGCGCAAGCCUGAUGCAGCCAUGCCGCGUGUAUGAAGAAGGCCUUCGGGUUGUAAAGUACUUUCAGCGGGGAGG